AGGGGAAGGCCACUCAUGUGCCUGGCCAACAAGGGCUUCCCCUCAGACUGGAAGCUGGGCUGGAAGGUGGACGGUAGCAGCAGCAGCAGCACCUGGGAGGUGACCAGGAGCCCCGGGGUCCAGGAGAAGGAUGGCCACUACAGCUGGAGCAGCACCCUGACCCUCCCUGUUGACCAGUGGAAGAAGGUGGGCUCUGUGGUCUGUGAGGCCACCCAGGGCUCCCAGUCUCCACUCUCUGAGACACUGAGGAGAGACCAGUGUUCUGAUUAAUGAGCUCCCCCCUCUGACUCCACUGUUUUUACUCUGCACCUCUCCUUCUUACUGUUCCAGCAAUACCAGCACACUGGUCUAAUGCUGGGUUGGAUCCUGUGUGGGAAUCCUUCCUCCAGCUGGAGCUUUUAGCAUAGUGGAACAAACACCAGAAUAUAUGUCUGGUUCUGAUGUCAAAUAGAUCUGCUUGGCUUUCAUAUCACAUGUGUUCUGAACCUUAUUACUGUAAGGCUGUUGGUUCUGACAUGUUGAGAUAAUAAAGACGGUCAAUAUUUAAA